CGACAUGUGUGUCUGCGCUUUGACAGGGCCAGGCUGAUGGGAACCUUGUGGGAGGCAGCCAAACCCCAGCUGAGGCCAGCACUCUGUGAAGGCUGGCAGCCCUGUGCCUCACAAGGGUGUCACUGCAAAUCUGCAGACAGGUGGGGGUACGUCUUUACCAGCUCACAGGGGGCCUAUCAGCUUCGGGAGAGGUGAAUUACUCUCUUUCACUGACUGGAAUUGUAAUUUUUGAUGCAGCGUAUUUUUCAGCAGAUUAACCUCUGGGAGAAUGGAGUUGGCAGCUCUGUGUGGCUGGAAGGUGGAGAGUCAGCCUGCUGGUGCUGGGGACAGUCUGAGCCCCUCAGACAGGCAAAGCCGAUACAGAUCAAACUUUACGCAGAGUCAGAGUGGCCCCUGUCACUGAUAUCACCGGUACGUGUGUCUCUAUGUCUCUGCUAUGCUUCCAGACGUCACUCUCCCUCAUCCCGCCAUCGCCAAACUGUCCCGAGGACAGCACAUUUACCCUCCACCAGCCUCUGUCCCACCCUCCUCAGAACUGGCUAUACAGUGUCCUCAGUAGGUUCCCGCUUCAUCAUGCAGUGCGGCCUGCCACAUGCUGAGUAUAUGCGCUCUCUCUUUCUCUUUCCCUCACUUCCUCCUGCUGCAUGGCCCACUGGAUUUUCCACUUGAUAUCCUUGCUGACUGGAGAUCUAAGUGGCCCCGUUCCCCAGCCAUGGUGAGGAGUGAUGGAGAUCUAGGUGGCCCCGUUCCCCAGCCAUGGUGAGGAAUGAUGGAGAUCUAGGUGGCCCUGUUCCCCAGCCAUGGUGAGGAAUGAUGGAGAUCUAGGUGGCCCCGUUCCCCAGCCAUGGUGAGGAAUGAUGGAGAUCUAGGUGGCCCUGUUCCCCAGCCAUGGUGAGGAAUGAUGGAGAUCUAGGUGGCCCUGUUCCCCAGCCAUGGUGAGGAAUGAUGGAGAUCUAGGUGGCCCUGUUCCCCAGCCAUGGUGAGGAAUGAUGGAGAUCUAGGUGGCCCCGUUCCCCAGCCAUGGUGAGGAAUGAUGGAGAUCUAGGUGGCCCUGUUCCCCAGCCAUGGUGAGGAAUGAUGGAGAUCUAGGUGGCCCCGUUCCCCAGCCAUGGUGAAAAUUAUGCUUUUUUUCUACCUCAUAUUCACUGUGUCAUUAACAUGCAAUUUA